ensembl:snRNA U6 U6 spliceosomal RNA
GUGCUCACUUUGGCAGCGCUUAUACUAAAAUGGGAAUGACACAGAGAAGAUUAGCAUGGUCCCUGUGCAAGGAUGACACGCAAGUUCCUGAAAAAUACUGUAAGGGC